rnacentral:lncRNA from 1 species
UGGUGUGGAGAACAUCUUGGUUUGAUGAUGUGUUAAUGUUGAAAUAUGCAUGGAUGUUGAUUUUUUUUGAAGAAGAUGUUAUUUACUUAUUUAUUUUAGAGAGAAUGAGAGAGAGAGAUAAUGCACGCACACAAGUAGGGGGAAGAGCAGAGGAGGAGGGACAAGCAGACUACCUGCUGAGCACGGAUCCCAAUGCAGAGCUUCGUCGCAGGACCCUGAGAUCAUGACCUGAGCCAAAAUCAAGAGUUGGAUGCUCAACCAAUUGAAUCACCAAGGUGCCCUGGAUGUUAAUUUUGAUGGUGUUUUAUGAGGCAUCAAUGCUAUGGGGUUUUACCAUUUUCCUAUGAACCAUUCCUUGGUAUAGUUAAUUUCUGUUGGAGAUUUUAGUGAUUUGAUUAGAAGUUUAGAAGAUGAGAUUAGAUAAUCAUCAAAAAAGAUGAUACUAUAGUGCCAACAUUAAGGUAUGGAGGAUAGGGAUCAGAAUUAUUUGAGUUUGAAAGGCAGCCCUACCACUUUUUUGUUGUGUGAUAUUAAACUUUAGGCUCCUCUGCUGUGAAAUUGGGAUAAUAGUAGAACCUUCCUCCUCUAGCUGUCAUGACCAUGAAAUUAGACAAUGACUCAUUCCUAUAAUGAUUGAAAUAGCCAGAUGAACUGUACCUCCAGAAAUGAAUUCUUCUAGUCUAUCUAAAUAUGAGGGAAGUGAAUAGAGGCACUGGUCAUUUAAAUCUAGGGAGACUUUACAAAUGGUUUUCAUGUCCCAAAUGAUGUCCAAUGUGGUUGAAGGUGAUCAUAACAACUUCAGACUCAGUGAGAUUUUGGACUGUAGACUCAACUGUUUUUGCUCAUGCUCACAUUGCCAGGACUUAGCACAGUGCUUGGCAUAUAGUAGCCAUGAAAAAUAUUUGUCUCUCUGCUUUCAGUGUUGCCUUCUUCCCAACUUUCCUUUACUCUUCUUCCCAGAGUUUUCUUUCCAAAUGUGGAUUUAAACCUGUCUUUUACUUGCAUACAGAAAUGAAAAGAGAGGUUCCCUCUUUUUAAAAUUAUUUUUUAUUUUUUCUAUUGGAGUUCAAUUUGCCAACAUAUAGCAUAACACCCAAUGCUCAUCCCAUCACGUGCCCCCCUCAGUGCCCAUCACCCAGUCACGCCCACCCCCCACCCAUCUCCCUUUGCACCACCCCUUGUUCAUUUCCCAGAGUUAGGUGUCUCUCAUGUUCUGUCUCCCUGUCUGAUAUUUCCCACUCAUUUUAUCUCCUUUUCCCUUUAUUCCCUUUCACUAUUUUUUAUAUUCCCCAAAUGAAUGAGACCAUAUAAUGUUUGUCCUUCUCUGAUUGACUUAUUUCACUCAGCAUAAUACUCUCCAGUUCUAUCCACAUCGAAGCAAAUGGUGGGUAUUUGUUGUUUCUAAUGGCUGAGGAAUAUUCCAUUGUAUACAUAGACCACAGCUUCUUUAUCCAUUCAUCUUUCAUUGGACACCGAGGCUCCCUCCACAGUUUGGCUAUUGUGGACAUUGCUGCUAUAAACAUUGGUGUCCCGGUGUUUCACUGCAUCUGUAUCUUUGGGGUAAAUCCCCAGCAGUGUAAUUGCUGGGUCGUAGGGAAGUUCUAUUUUUAACUCUUUGAGGAACCUCCACACAGUUUCCAGAGUGGCAGCACCAGUUCCCAUUCCCACCAACAGUGCAAGAGGGUUCCCUUUCUCCGCAUCCUCUACAACAUUUGUUUCCUGCUUGUUAAUUUUCCCCAUUCUCACUGGUGUGAGGUGGUAUCUCAUUGUGGUUUUGAUUUGUAUUUCCCUGAUGGCCAGUGACGCAGAGCAUUUUCUCAUGUGCUUGUUGGCAGUCUCUUCAAUCAAAGGUUCCCUCUUUACUGGGAGCAUCAACAAUUUGGAGAAUCUCAGUCUAGACCUGCCAGGGCCCUGCCCAUUGGUGGAGCAGAAAGCAAGAAAAUCAAGGACUCUAGCCAGGGUUCCAGCAGGAAAUGGACAGUACAACCCAACAGGAGCAAUUUGAGAAGAAUUCAACCAAUGGAUUAUAUGUAAAGGUAUAUGGAAUGGACUUAGGGAAACCAGUGAGGGAUAAGACAGUACUCCAGGCUGCUGUCACCAUCCCUAUACCUAAAUAGGCAAGGAGGGGACAGUUCCUGGAACCUGGGAGCACCUCCUGAUGGGAGCCAUGGCCUUUGGCUGCAGAACCUGACUGGGGGAGUAGCUGAGAAAUAACCUCCCUGAUCAAUCUCAUUUUCUUUCUGCUUUAAUCUCCUACUGGUGACUCCCCCUGGGACCAGGCCAACCAGAAGCCAGAGUGCCAUGCAGAGGUAACACAGCCCAGAGCUGGGCGGGAAAGGGUGGAUAUGGGGCUGGAAGAGCCAAACACGAGAUACCCAGCAUCUUAUGGAAGUAAGUUUGCCAUCUUGAACCUCACAGAAUGAACUCCUCUCAAUGGAGAACAGAAAAGCAUGCUGGGCAAACAAAAACUAAGGGAAUCUUCAUUCUCCACAUUGAGAAGAAGCUGGAACCAACGUCCGUUGACAUUGAGCCUUAUUUUCUUCUCCUAUGGUUUCCUGAGGUUUAGAGCUUGUUGUUGCUGUGACCACCGACACCAUAUUUUAUCAAAACCUUUCAAAACUUACACCUGAAACUAUAUAUGCCUGGCUUUUAAGUGUCUAUAAAUAGUUUCUUUAAUUUGAGCAUUCCUUACAAAUCUGAGGACAUUUUUAGUUAUUUUUCUUCUACCUCCUAUAGGUAAUUUAUCUUAUGUAGUAUUUAAAAAUUACCUAUAGAAUGCCAUGGCUCUUAGAUCAGUCUCAAAUGAAUCUCUGGGUAUACUUUUAUAUCUCUGGUGUUAGAUUUAUACUUUUCCCAUUGGGUCCUUGCAUAUCCUCUUCUAUAAAGUUUUCAGGUCACAACUGAUGGGCUUUUAUAGAUAUUCAAUUCACUCAAUCAAUUUCACCUUGUGUAGAGAGAAUUAGUCUUCUGAGUUUUCUGACAUUAGCAAUACAUAAAAAUCCUAUAACAAAGUAUGCUCUCAUCUCUUUGAAAAUGAGUAAUGAGGCAUGACAAUUUCUUUCUGAAGCAAUAAUCAAGAAAAAGAGCCCUGCAUUUAAUUCAUUAUGUGAACCCAUAGAAAGAGCAAAGGAAAAAUAAAUAUUUUCACCCAUUUGAGUCAACUUCAAGCCUAAAAUUAUAGGUUCUUGCUACUUGGACUUAAUUGCUGUGACAAAGAAGCACAAGUUGCUGUGAUCAGAUCUCUCAUGGAAUACAAAAGCACGAAUCCUUGACAUUUUGAAGAGUAAUAUAAUAUAAUCAUCUUUGCCUUAACCUGAACUGAUUUUCUUUCAUAGUGUUUUUUUUUUUUAAUAUUAGAAAUGAAGACAAACCCAAACCUCAGGAAAUUUAAGUGAAAGUCCUGUUACUGAAAGAUAGUCUGUAAUAGGUGAGAGGAACUUAGGUCAUACCAUUUUGCAGUACUCAAAUUUAUAAUAAGUAAUGAAUAUUCUUAUGAACAUCAGGAUUUGGUUAAUUUGAAAGUUGCACACUUUCUUAAUACCCCCAAUUUAAAUGUCAAUCUUUGUUAUCAGCAUCAGUAUGGUGGUUGGAACUGGGUGGGUCUCAGAAACAGUCGCAGGUUGAGGAGAAGAAAGGCCCCCUUACAGGGUCAUGAAUAACACUCCAAGGAGGGGCAGCAAGGAGUGUGGACAGUGGUGUGGGGAGUGGAGUUAGUCUCUCCUUGCCCCCUCCAAGUCUGUCCCAAGAGAACCUGCUUUUGCAUCUUGGGGUCCUCUUCUGACUCUAUCCUUGUUUUUAAUGUCAGAGUUUCAUUCUUUUUUAAGCUUUAUAAAAAUUGUGAAAUAGUUCAAGCAUGCAGAAAAUUUCAGAAAAUAAAUGCAUGUGCCUACCACACAACUCUCUCAAAUAUUAUGAUUUACCAUAGUUGCUUCAGGAUGUUUUUCUUUUAUUAAGAGAAAAAGCCUCAUUGUAUGCCUGGUGUGGGGUGGGUAUGUGGAGAGAGUAGGGCAGGACUUCUCUCCCCUACUCCUAAGGCUUUUUACUCCUGUAAGGGGCUUUUUCCUGCUCUUGUCAUUAUUAUUACUUUGGGGCUCAGCCAGCCCAUGAUCUUAACCACCCCAUACCUCUUGGAUGCCAUCUGCCAACUCCUGGUCAAUCGUGAGGCUGAG